GACGUAGGGCGCGAGCGUUGUCCGGAAUUAUUGGGCGUAAAGGGCGCGUAGGCGGCUUGGCAAGUGGAUGGUGAAAUCCCUCGGCUUAACCGAGGAACUGCCGUCCAAACUGCUUCGCUUGAGACCGGGAGAGGUGAGUGGAAUUCCCAGUGUAGCGGUGAAAUGCGUAGAUAUUGGGAGGAACACCAGUGGCGAAGGCGGCUCACUGGACCGGUACUGACGCUGAUGCGCGAAAGCGUGGGGAGCAAACGGG
rnacentral:rRNA from 1 species